ACUCAAAUGAAUUGACGGGGACCCGCACAAGCGGUGGAGCAUGUGGUUUAAUUCGACGCAACGCGAAGAACCUUACCAGGCCUUGACAUCCCGAUUAAGGAGAGCAGAGACGCUUUCCGUCAUUUAGUUGGAUCGGUGACAGGUGCUGCAUGGCUGUCGUCAGCUCGUGUCGUGAGAUGUUGGGUUAAGUCCCGCAACGAGCGCAACCCUUAUCUUCUGUUGCCAGCAUUUAGUUGGGCACUCAGACGAAACUGCCGGUGAUAAGCCGGAGGAAGGUGGGGACGACGUCAAGUCAUCAUGGCCCUUACGGCCUGGGCUACACACGUGCUACAAUGGUGGUGACAAUGGGCAGCUAACCCGCGAGGGCAUGCUAAUCUCAAAAAACCAUCUCAAUUCGGAUUGUUCUCUGCAACUCGAGAGCAUGAAGCUGGAAUCGCUAGUAAUCGUGGAUCAGCAUGCCACGGUGAAUACGUUCCCGGGUCUUGCACACACCGCCCGU
rnacentral:rRNA from 1 species